rnacentral:rRNA from 1 species
UACGUAGGGGGCAAGCGUUGUCCGGAAUCACUGGGCGUAAAGCGCACGUAGGUGGACUUUCAAGUCAGGGGUGAAAUCCCGGGGCUCAACCUCGGAACUGCCUUUGAUACUGUUGGUCUUGAGUCCGGAAGAGGUGAGUGGAAUUCCUAGUGUAGAGGUGAAAUUCGUAGAUAUUAGGAAGAACACCGGUGGCGAAGGCGGCUCACUGGUCCGGUACUGACACUGAGGUGCGAAAGCGUGGGGAGCAAACAGG